UACGGGGGGGGUAAGCGUUGUUCGGAAUUACUGGGCGUAAAGCGCGUGUAGGCUGCGGAGUAAGUCGGAUGUGAAAUCCCUUGGCUUAACCAAGGAAGUGCAUCCGAUACUGUUUCGCUUGAGUGUCGGAGGGGGUGGCGGAAUUCCCGGUGUAGAGGUGAAAUUCGUAGAUAUCGGGAGGAACACCUGUGGCGAAGGCGGCCACCUGGACGACAACUGACGCUGAGACGCGAAAGCGUGGGUAGCAAACAGG
rnacentral:rRNA from 1 species